rnacentral:ncRNA from 1 species
UACCUGGUUGAUCCUGCCAGUAGUCAUAUGCUUGUCUCAAAGAUUAAGCCAUGCAAGUCUAAGUACGAGCUCUCGUACAGUGAAACUGCGAAUGGCUCAUUAAAUCAGUUAUGGUUCAUUUGAUCGUACAGUUUACUUGGAUAACUGUGGUAAUUCUAGAGCUAAUACAUGCGAGAAGCGCCGACCUCGCGGGAGGCGUGCAUUUAUCAGACCAAAAACCGGCCGCGUCUUCGGGCGCGUUCGCCUUGGUGACUCUGGAUAACUUUGCGGAUCGCACGGUCUAGCACCGGCGA